rnacentral:rRNA from 1 species
GUAUCCGGAUUUAUUGGGUUUAAAGGGAGCGUAGAUGGAUGUUUAAGUCAGUUGUGAAAGUUUGCGGCUCAACCGUAAAAUUGCAGUUGAUACUGGAUGUCUUGAGUGCAGUUGAGGCAGGCGGAAUUCGUGGUGUAGCGGUGAAAUGCUUAGAUAUCACGAAGAACUCCGAUUGCGAAGGCAGCCUGCUAAGCUGCAACUGACAUUGAGGCUCGAAAGUGCUGGGUAUCAAACAGGA